rnacentral:rRNA from 1 species
UGGGGAAUUUUGGACAAUGGGCGCAAGCCUGAUCCAGCAAUGCCGCGUGCAGGAUGAAGGCCUUCGGGUUGUAAACUGCUUUUGUACGGAGCGAAAAGGUCUGCCCUAAUACGGUGGGCUCAUGACGGUACCGUAAGAAUAAGCACCGGCUAACUACGUGCCAGCAGCCGCGGUAAUACGUAGGGUGCGAGCGUUAAUCGGAAUUACUGGGCGUAAAGCGUGCGCAGGCGGUUAUAUAAGACAGAGGUGAAAUCCCCGGGCUCAACCUGGGAACUGCCUUUGUGACUGCAUAGCUAGAGUACGGUAGAGGGGGAUGGAAUGCCGCGUGGAGCAGUGAAAUGCGUAGAUAUGCGGAGGAACACCGAUGGCGAAGGCAAUCCCCUGGACCUGUACUGACGCUCAUGCACGAAAGCGUGGGGAGCAAACA